rnacentral:misc_RNA from 1 species
UGCUGGAUCAUUACCUUGUCGGUACGACAAACUUUUGUGCUGUAGGGAGCCACCACACCAAAGGCUGUCAUGACUCGACGGCUGGCGACUACCCAGAGACAGUCUACGUGCGUCCACCUCGAUGGACCCGAACGGUGAGAGUAGCGCUCUGUUACGGGCUCCGCCAGUCUGCACGUAGGCGAAAACGGCUUCGCUGGAUCCUAUGCAAUGCUGAGCAGUUGUAGUCAAGAAUGCCCGUGGCUGCCGUGAGGUGUUGCGAUAGUCCCAUGUCCCACCAUGGCGGUGGGGUAGCAUGAAGGGUAGGAUUAAUGAGUACUGGAAUCAGUGCCGCCAGCAAAAACCCUUUUUUUCAAUUUUUUUUCAAACAAAAUAAAAGUUAUUAUUAGUCUUGCCGGUGGAUCACUCGGCUCGUAGGUCGAUGAAGAUCGCAGCCAAAUGCGAUAGCUAGUGCGAACUGCAGAUAUACUGAGCACUAAAUUGUCGAAUGCACAUUGCGCCUUGGGAUUUACACCCCUUGGCACGCCUGGUUCAGGGUCAUCUCUCCCACAGAAAGCAGAAUGCGCUUUCAAACACCACUCCGACACUGUCUUGACAAAAGGCCGUAAAUGAAGUGACAGAGUCGAGUGUUGUGUUCAAUUGCUUGUCCAGCUGGAUUCCUGGGGCAGUUGCCGGUCGUCCAAACGUAUUCUUUUGACUGGCGUUGCUCUCGGGGACUGCUGGGACACUCGAUUAUCUGACCUGAACUCAGACGUGACUACCCGCUGAACUUAAGCAUAUCAGUAAGCGGAGGAAAAGAAACUAACAAGGAUUCCCCCAGUAACGGCGAGUGAACAGGGACCAGUCCAGCGCUGAAUCUCGACGUCUCGGCGUCGCGACGUGUAGCGUAUAGGCGGUGUUCUUUGCCGUGGUCGAAGGCACAAGUUUUCCAUGACCGGGGCGCCAUAGAAGGUGAUAGACCUGUAACGCCUGAGGCCUAGGUGGACCACACUGUCUUGGAGUCGGGUUGUUUGGGAUCGCAACCCAAAGAAGGUGGUAAACUUCAUCUAAGACUAAAUAUCCCUACGAGACCGAUAGCGAACAAGUACCGUGAGGGAAAGUUGCAAAGCACUUUGAAGAGAGAGUUAAAGAGGACGUGAAACCGGUAGGAUGGAAACGGAUAGAGCCAGCGAAGUCGCUUGUAUUCAGCCGAAGACCUGGGGCUCCCUGUCGUCGUGUUUUUAAUCGAGCACGGCGGUUUGUGUGCUCCAGGCCGAGGUGCAUUUGCAGGCGUUUGCGCUGAGACUUGCGAGGCAGCUUCUGGACCGGUGCUUAGUGGCUUCCCUCUGGGUUGAACCUAGGCGCCGUUACAGUUGUUUGCCCUGCUCAUACUGGUCUGGCCUACGAACGUGGGCUGUGUUGUUGCCAACUGGCCAAGGUAUCGCAUGCGAUGUCUAGUCUGGGGGUAGCGGCAUGGUCCAUUGUUCCCGGACCGCCUCUCGGUGUAGAAGCUGGUCAUCUCUCCGACCCGUCUUGAAACACGGACCAAGGAGUUUAGCGUAUGCGCGAGUCAUUGGGUGCACAAACCUAGAGACGCAAUGAAAGUAAAGGCUCGGUCGCCGGGCUGACAUGCGAGUGCCGCGGCUUCGGCCCAGGCAUGCAGCAUGGUCCCGUUGCAGCCGCUUGCGGCGCAGCGGAGACAGAGCGUAUGCGCUGAGACCCGAAAGAUGGUGAACUAUUCCUGAGCAGGACGAAGCCAGAGGAAACUCUGGUGGAAGUCCGAAGCGAUUCUGACGUGCAAAUCGAUCGUCUGACUUGGGUAUAGGGGCGAAAGACUAAUCGAACCAUCUAGUAGCUGGUUCCCUC